rnacentral:rRNA from 1 species
UUGGCCUACGGGGCGCAGCAGUGAGGAAUAUUGGUCAAUGGGCGCGAGCCUGAACCAGCCAAGUCGCGUGAGGGAGGACGGCCCUACGGGUUGUAAACCUCUUUUGCCGGGGAGCAACGGGCGUCACGUGUGGCGCCACUGAGAGUACCCGGAGAAAAAGCAUCGGCUAACUCCGUGCCAGCAGCCGCGGUAAUACGUAGGGGGCAAGCGUUAUCCGGAUUUACUGGGUGUAAAGGGAGCGUAGACGGCUGUGCAAGCCAGAUGUGAAAGCCCGGGGCUCAACCCCGGGACUGCAUUUGGAACUG